rnacentral:rRNA from 1 species
UACGAAGGGUGCAAACGUUGCUCGGAAUUAUUGGGCGUAAAGCGCACGUAGGCGGCUUUGCAAGUCGGAUGUGAAAUCCCUCGGCUCAACCAAGGAAGUGCAUCCGAAACUGCAGAGCUUGAGUACCAAAGAGGAUCGCGGAAUUCCCGGUGUAGAGGUGAAAUUCGUAGAUAUCGGGAGGAACACCAGUGGCGAAGGCGGCGAUCUGGGUGGAUACUGACGCUGAGGUGCGAAAGCGUGGGGAGCAAACAGG